CUCAGAUUCCACUUUGAUAUCAAUCAGUGCAGAUGUACAUUAGAUCAUGCCAUUAUAUUUUAUCUCGUUUUGAUGCUGUUGGGCCUUAGUUUUUAUAUUGGUUAAAAUAAUUCAACAGUAGAUUUUCUGUUCAUACUUAAAGACUUUGGGAAACAUGCCUAUUGAACUUCAUUUAAUCAACUCUAGUGUUGUACUGAAAUAAAUAUGGUAACUUUUCAGUAGCAGAUCAUUUAUAAUAAUCAUUUCCAGAAAAUACUUCCACAGAAUUGUACUUCCCAAUCAAAUCAUCUGAUCACACAUUUAUUCCCAUGAAAGGUAGAAUGGUUGUUUGAAAAUUAAUCUAGUUUUCUGUACAUUUAAAAUUUGAUUGAGGUGACAGCUGGCUCUUACCCCGUCUUCCUUCAUAUCGGUUUUCUGAUAGACCACUAUUGGCAAACAGUUAUCUGUCAACUACCAAAUGUGUAAAAUUUUCUGUAUUUCACUUUGUCUUAUUUGUAAAUAGUGAACUAAAACUUCUGGCAGAUCAGCAACAUUUGCUGAGCCUGUUUUUUAAGCUAAUAUGUAUUCUUACUAAUGUUCCUAUCAAGAAUGGAUUUGUAAUAUAUGCUGUCUAUUUCUAAUGUUCACAUUCAUAUUUUGAGGUUCUAUCUUAUUUUAAUAGAGAACAGACUUCUCAGAAAAUCUUCAGAAGCAGCUUAUUAUUAAAAUAUCAAAAUAUUGAAAUAAACCCGGUGGGGUUAGAUUACUCAUCCGUCCACCAAGUGGGACAUUUGCAUGGACUGGGGGCUUUAAGGACUUAGAACAGACCUGUAAGUAUAUCCUGAAGAUGAGCCAAUCAAUCCCCACUUGAAUGGUUACUGGAAUAGACCCACCUUUACGACCCUGAUUUUAGCACCCGAGGCAGAUAAACUCACCUUGGCUCUGUUUCAUUUUUCUUCUCUUCAUUUGUGAUGCUCAGAUCCAAGAUGUGUGUUCUAGACUGUGUACAGGCUUCUCUUUUGUUGAGUUAAAAAUUUUAGUCCUACUUUUGUAUGGACAUACUAGAAUGUAAAGUGACCAAAAUAGAAGACUUGCCAUUAGAUAUUUUUCAGAUGUCAGCAUAUUUGUGGCAAAUCAUUUGCCUUUUUACAAAUUCAGCUUAAACAGUUCAGACAGUAGACUACUCAGAAAAACUUAUUUGACAUAAUUGUCUAAGAGGUAAAUAUUUUUUAGUGCGUAUUGAAUCAAAUAAAGUGCUCUAAAGAAGUUAUUACACAAAUUUCUUUGGGUUGUUUUUCUUUAACAUGUGGUGGAGGUAAACAUGAAUAUGAUUCAAGCCUUCUAAUGGUGUAUUAGUUUUAUUAUUGCUGUUGACUUCAUUCUGUGGCUUUCUUUUAGCUUUUUCAGUUGUUACAAGUUAAACUUUAAAACAUAUACCAAAACUUAUCAAUUUACUCAAAUCUCAAAUUCUUUAGAACAGAUAUCUUAUAAAAAGGAAAAAUUAUUUUAAAAUACUUUUAUCUAUGUGCAUUUUCCUCUUUCCUACAACAUUCAUGAUUUCUGUUUAUCAGGAGACUUACCUAAGGGUACAUUUU
rnacentral:lncRNA from 1 species